UGAUCACGAUUUUCACCCAAAUUGUACAAGAAUUUCCAUUAAGAUACUGCAACAUGUCGCCAUAAACUUUUUCUUAAGAUACUAUGUUGACAUUUAUCAGAUGGUCGAGGCAUGCAAAUCGACUGGCAUGCAUGUGCCCCACCUUUGCCUUUCAACUGAUGCUUCGAUCACUCCUACUUCUCAAAAGUCAACUCCCUACUAAAUAACUUUCAUGUCGCCAUGAUCGCCUCCAUCCCUGACCAAUGGAAGCCACCGCAGGCCCCGAUUGAAGCCGCUGCAGCCUUGACGACAAUGCCGACGCCUCCAUGUCAACCAACCGCCACAUCUCUCUAUCUAUCCCUCAGCCUGGUUUCUCUGUCUUCCGCCAAGUUAGCCACGGACAAAGCCUCCAAGGUCUUGGCGCCAUUGAGCUCGACCAGAUCUGAUCAGGUGAUGGGCAAAGCUGAUGUGAGGUUAAACCAGAUCUAUCGAGCUCAACAGAUAGGGCGAACAUGUACUACCCUCAAAAUUCAGGGUUAGUUCACAUUUGUCAAUAUUAGAGCUUUGUGAUGCACGUUCUUUUUUUAUUUUUGGUUGGUUUCUUAACCUUGAAGACAUUGACAAGUCUGAUUAUGUUUGUGCCUAUAUCGAUUCCUUUUGUUUGAACAAUAUCGUUUUUUAAUGCUUUU